AUGGGUCGCCGCAUGUAGCUGGUUUUAUGAUCCAGUUCCAUCUCCGGUGCAUCGUCAUUUUCUCUACCUGUGAGGGUGUUUGGAGGACGGAGGUGAAACUGGUGUACACAUCCAUGUGACGGAGUGAACAAGCUGCCUGCAUAUAGGAAGCCAUCUGACCGCUCCUGAGGCAGUUGGCUCGUCUGUGCCCACCUAGGCCAUCUCUGAUCUAUAGCUACGUCCUUCGACACGUUCGUUACAACUACCCGCUGCAGAUGGAUAUAUGAGAGGCACCCUUAAUCGAUUUACUGCACCGGAAACAACCGUCGAACUACCUAACGUAACAAAAUAUUUGAAAAAUGGCGAGACUGACCGAAGAAACGUCGUUAUUCAGAAUAACGUGCUGGCCGAUGAUGGUUACCGGUUUGCCAAUUUAAAGAUCGGCGCGUGCUGAACUCGGUAAGAUUGAUAAACGGAAAAAAAAUACGAACACGGGAUGCCGGAGGUACUGACUUCUGUGUGUGCUGGGGUUACCGAUAAGCUGCCUAGCACCAUUUGAAAUCAGUGCCGCUCCUCCCAUCACUCUGCACUAGCCGAGGAUAAAUCGAGGCUAGUUAAGCGAUCCAGUAACAGCUGCGAUUUCACGAGGAGCGUAGUAUUGGCCGUUCGGAUCGAGUACCUGAAAGUUUGACGACCGGAAUAAGAGGAGGAUUAGGUGCUGCACAGGGACGCCUGUGUUACGUUCAUUUAUCACGGGAUAUGUGAAUUUGUACGUACAUGGAUACAUGGAUACGUAUACACUAAGCGUGUACAACAAUUAACAACGAAGAGAUUUUACAUGACUAUGCCCAUUGAAUCGAGGUGACAAAGGAGUCGGAAUAUCGUCAUUAUCAUAUUUGAAACUCACCGCUGAGACCGGUCGCCUUGUCGUUUGAUGACGUCGCGUCGAACACGGCCGCGUAUUCUUCGAGGCCCAGGGACCGUUUAAAGUGUUCGUCGAUCGCCGGGUCGCAGACAACGCCGCUGCUCCUGACCCCGGUUCGCUGGGUCCCCGUUGCAGCGGAUGCAGUGGCCGUGCAGGCCGCUACCGCCGUGUCCUCGACGGUCGUUCCUAAUUUCAAUCGUAAACAAUUUAACAACAGGGUGACAACAGUUGUUGAAACAGAUUCGAUCUGGACCAAUGAGAUCUCUAACCCUGCUGGUAAUAAUAAUGAAGCAAGUAGAAUUGGCGUUACUUUGCACGAAACUCAAAGGUAAUAUGAUUAACGAUCCGUCAUCGGCUGUUUUUCGCUUCGAUUAACGAUCAACUAAUAAUAAUAAUAAUAAUAAUAAUAUUAAUGAGGAUAAUUUGAAAAAAAUAUAUCCGUCUUUAUUGUAUUACAAUAAUACUGUCUUCCUACUUGAUUAAAUUCACCUGGUUGCGGUGUCGUUGGCACGAUUACACUCGGCCUCGCAUGGUGAUGUACCCUGGCAGCUGACAUGUCAAGAGCUUCGCUUUGGAUCGGAUCUCGCCUGCGUUCUUUACGCCAGGCACUGCUGGGCUUUCUGUGAAGAUUCGACGCUUUUGGCCUCUCCUCUGUAAACAUACAUGUACACAAUUACAAAUCUGCAUUUGCAUCAAUGCGCAGCAAGCUCUUAUAUUAUCCCUAUUCCCAUUGAUGUAUCAUCACUAUCAACCAUGAGACUGUCAACCUUCCCAAACGUCCUUUAAGGUAGGUGGAUAUAUGGACAGAAAAUCGUCACAGUUUUUCGUUAAAUUUUUCUUCAACCAAUGCGAGUUACAGAUUUUAUACAACGGUUUGGCUAACGUGCAUAAGUUUUCUAUCAACGAAAGAAAGGCACUAUUGAAAAUUUGCAAUACGUCUACAACCUCUGGAUGUGUAAGACCUUGCGAUUUGUAAGCCUUCGUAUGAAUUUCGCCAAGGCUGCCAAAAAGAACCACUUGACUCGGAUAUCGCGAUUUUUACCCUCGCUGAUUCGUCGAUAUCGAACGACAUUGCACUCCUGGCAACGUGUAUUUAAUUUUUGAAAAAUGAAAACUAUCAAAAGUAUUCUAAAAAUUUUCUUGUUCCUGGUUUAUUUUUUAUAUAUUCCUAGUCUUUUACUCGUCUCGUCUCGUUUGACGUUGGCGUUUCGUUACCCGGGUAAACUAUAAUCGCAACUUCAACUUCCGUAUAGGCACUCUCUGCAGUUGAUACGCGCGGUUGCAAUCUCGGCUCAUAAUUAAUAAACCGAACAUAUAAUAAUGUGGUUACAGAUCGACGACAUAUGGCGAAAGUUGUACUAGAAAUGUAUACGUGGAAGGGCGUGCUCAAGAAUCAAUGAAAUAUAAGCGAAAUCAGCGGAUGCUCUCACGUACAGCUAUAGGCGAAUUGGAUCGUAAGAAGAAUUUCGCUAAUCUCGAGCAUGGGAGAUAUGGGAAACCGUGCGGUAACGACUUGAGAGAUAGGGGGGAAAAAUGAGAGAAGUAAGGAAAGAAAAAAUCGAGGAAAGUGGGCCAAAAUCGAUCCCACACAUCGGAAUAGAGAUUGUAGGUAUAUACGUAGUCGCUGAGAGCGGUUGAAAGGUGUAUAUGUAUACAUAAUAACGUAAAUCGGUUAUCGGAAUGUUUGAGAUAACAAUUUUGUUUGUUUUUGAAUUAGAGGCGAAUGUUCUUAAUGCGCAUACGAGCGAAAGCUUGAUUCUUUCGUCGUGUCGUUUUGACAAAUAUAAAUAAUUAAGCGAACUUGACCAGUUGGACAUACAAGGACGUUAUACAAACCGAAAGUCUGCACAUUUGGGAAACACGACGUAUACAGUAUACAAUAUGUGCAUAACACGAUGCGUGUAUCGUUCGUGUGUGCGUCGCGUAGGAAUUUAGCGAUAGUAUGAGGCAGCACUGGGAUGUGUAAAUAAAAUGAAGCUGUGUAGAACGCAGGUACAUAGAAUUUACGAUAAAUAAUACAUGAUUCGAGGAAUUUUAACGUUUCUUGCAACAAAUAGCGAAGGAACGAACGAGUUACAAAGUUCGUAAGCUGUCUGGCAUCCCCAAUAACAAAUCGAUAGUGGAAUGCGGGACAGAAUAAAAAAAAGCAGACCUUGCAUUCCUGAGGAGCUAAAUGGAAAUGUUUUACGAAGAGAGAAGACUUACCUGUUCGAUACACCUUAAUCGCAGUUCCCGUGCACCUCACACUUGGCAAUAGUGACAACCGACUGAUGUGUCGUGAAAACUUGCCCCCGGAGACUUGCUUGUAUUAUUUUUUCAUUGAGAAUUAUUAAAAUCGAAUGGUAUGCGGACAGACACACACAGCACAAGCUGUUUGACACGAGAAGUAAGUCGGGGACCCCACCACUUGUACGCAACUGGAAUGCAUGGUAUUCGUUCGAGGAGCCGACCUCUACCGGCAAAAUCGUCAAUUCUUUUGUCGUCUCGUUUCCCCGCACAACAAGCCGUCCAGCUCCUACGAUCCAUGCACUACACUCGGCCACUUUUACGUACGAAUUCUGCACACCCAUACAGACUUGUACUCAUGCGCAUACGUGUGAAUCCUUCAAAUGCACGUACAAGUAUAUCGAUGCAUUCAUAGUGCAUACGACGUUGCUUCGUAUUUGCCUACGCAACGUGCGUCAUGAAAGUUUAUUUGUCGCGUAUAUAUGCCGAACCAAGGAUUACAGACAAUAUGCAUCGGAAAUAAACCCACCCUGAUAUUCAUUAAGCCGAUACCACGCCUCUUCUUUACCGAUUGAAAUUAUCCUCAUUGCAGUUUUUCAAAUUACUUCUAAACUCGGACGUCGAAUCAAUUGUCCUACUACUGUUGUGUGGUUUAUGCAGUGUUGAAUUGACGAAUGUUGAAUGAAAACGACAAAAACUUGAUUUCAACAAAGUGUCUCUGUUGUAUUGCUUCCUGCGCAAAGAUGGCUACUUGUACUCUUCACCAAAGCGCACCGUUCGUAUAAUUCUUUGUGCAUUUAUAUUCUUACCCUUCGUGGACUGCAGUGAUUCACGUGGAAAUGCCAAACUUGACUUGUUAGUAUCUUACCAGAGGCGCGGAAAUAUCAUUUACUGACGAUACGCUAUUUUCAUUUACAAAGUUUUCGAAAAACUGUAAAUCUGCGAUUACCGACGGUUCAAAAUUCCCCGACGAGUGGAGUGUCGCCUUAAGGUUACUGUCAACACCUGCAGAAGUUUGAGCAUAGUCCGUGAUCAUGCGCGGGUCCAUUACGAAUUAUUUGACAUUUGUUAUAGCGUCUUCAACGUUUUUCAAUCUGUCGUGAAUUGUUCAAUUUAAAAAAUAAGCAAAUGAUAUGUAUGAUAUAAUAAGACCCAAAAAAUGUUUUUCGGAAAAACCAUUAGCUUGUAAUUUUAAGAUUGUCUCCAGUUAAUCCAGUAAACCGUGAUAAAUUAAAAUGCACUCAUAGAAAAACUGUAAAACAAUCUUGUGUCGAACUAAAUAAUUUUUUUUUUCCUCUUCACUGAUUGUGAGAAGUUUAUUUCACUUUAAUGAACAACACAAAACCAAAUGGACAACUUGUAGAGAAUAGCUGUAGCGGUGUGAAAUUUGU